rnacentral:lncRNA from 1 species
CAUUGGACAACGAUAGAUUAACCAAACGAAUGGGAUUCGGUAAGAGCAUCAGCAGUGGAAAGAAUUAACAUGGAUCUCUCAAAAAAUAAGUAUAUCAUUAUUUAUCUUAUAUAAUUAUUUCUUUUAUUUUUUAGUUAAUUUAAUAAAUAGAAAUAUGACACUUGGCAAUUGGAUACCUCAACACAAAAGAAAAGUCUCUAUGCAUAGGGACGUUUCUGUCUUCUUUCUUCCAUUCAUUUCUUCUCUUUUUUCCUUUUUCUUUAUUUUUAAUUUUUUAAUUAGUAAGAGACUCUUACAGAGACUCCCACUGCUGAUGCUCUAAAGAUGAGCGAUAUUUGUAACUUUUACUCAGAUUAUCAUUUAUAUUAAUUUGAACAUACAUUUUUUGAUACACAUAACUCUACAAAAGCAGAACAAGUAUUAA